GUGCGGGUUCGCUGCAUCCGGCGCUCCCCCAAGGCAGCCGUGGCAGUCCGCGCACGCGCGCAAUUGCUUUCUCGCCCGAGAGCUAUCCUUCCCACCUUCUUGCACGGUCCGUGAGUACUGCGCGGGAUAUGAACUGCUGCUGAGGAAGCUUGUGACCUUUGACGAGAUGGUUUUCUGCUGCAGAGGGCAAUUCCUAAAGAUGGGCCCAGCUGGGAGCUGUCAGCAGCCAACACUCAGGGACAUUCAAGAUUACACAUGAGAGCAGUGGCCAAUCCGGUGAUCACAGAGAGCAAUUACUCGUGCAUCCCUGCAGCUCUUUGUGCUUGUAGCUGGUGUACCUCAAUGCCACCCCUGUGAGAAGCUGGCCAACCUUCCUGAGAAUGUGUGAAGAAUCUCCUUGCUCCUCAGUACUCCAGGUGGAAGAGAACGAUUCAAAACUACAAAACUUGGUGGUGGAUAAAUCUGGAGGCCAUGCUGGGCCAAGAAGAAGAAGGCCUAGAAGGGUCAUGGUUGUUAUGU